rnacentral:rRNA from 1 species
UUUGAAGAGAGAGUUCAAUAGUACGUGAAACUGCUUAGAGGUAAACGGAUGGGCCCUCGAAGGCCAGUGGCGGGAGGAUUCAGUUGGACGGUGCGGGUGCGAGUGCGCGGCUUCAUAUCAGUUCCGACUGCGGUUGGACGAUCCGCGCGCCUAAGUGCCUGCGCUUGACGACGCAUUUGCUUCCCGUCCGAGUGACGUCGCAACCGGUUGGGAGACGGCCUUAAAGGCAGGCAACGGCAGGUGACUGUCUGCAGGKACGUUCCGCAAGGGGCGAUACCAGCUGGAUAGUGUUAUAGCCAGUCAGCCGUAUGGCACGUAGCCCGACCGUGGUAGUAAAAGGUACCCUCCGGGGACCUCGAUCGCCUCCUCCGUAAAAGGAUUACGGCGGCUGCGCCAGUGGCUCGAAUGGCACCCGGUGCGUGCACGGCACAGAAACCGUGACCCGGGAGUCUUCGCCCUUGAUAGGCGCGGCUACAUAAUGCCGUUGGAGAUGUUGGUGGUUGGCGGCGAGUAGAUC